ensembl:misc_RNA 7SK 7SK RNA
AAAUGUGAGGGCAAUCUGGCAGAGACAUCUGUUAUCCCAUUGAUCGCCAGGGUUUGAUUAGGCUGAUCUGGCUGCUAAGUGGAUGUCCCCUUCCUCCUCCAUCAUUCCAUGUGUGUCCUGAAGAUGCGCCCUUGUUGAUGAGGAUGGCCAUCCCAGAUAGAAGUGUACCAAUCUUCGGUUAAGGACAUAGGAAUAAAAAAGUAACUUUAACCAUAUGUUUGCAUGCAGUUUCAUGGAAGUUAUAU